rnacentral:tRNA from 1 species
GCGCGGGUGGUGGAACGGUAUACACGUACGCUUGAGGUGCGUAUUCCGCAAGGAUUGGGAGUUCAAAUCUCCCCCCGCGCACCA